AGUACGUGAAACUGCUUAGAGGUUAAGCCCGAUGAACCUGAAUAUCCAUUAUGGAAAAUUCAACAUUAAUAUUAUAAUAUUUAUUUAUAAAUAAUUAUAAAAAUAGUGUGCAAUUUUUCCAUAUAAGGACAUUGUAAUCUGUUAAUGUAAUAAAUAUUUAUCAUAAGAUUCAAUAAAUAAAAGUUUAUUCAAAUUAGUUAUUUUCCGAUUUCUAACAUAGAAUAAAUUUAAUUGAAUUUGAUAAAUCAUUGACAGAUUUAUUUAUAUAUAGUGCUUAAAUUCUUAAUUGAAUUUUACAAUAAUUUAUAAAUGUAUUUUCAUUUAUUUAUUUAUUGUAUGCACUUAUAUGAUUAACAAUGCUAUAGAUUCAGGAUACCUUCGGGACCCGUCUUGAAACACGGACCAAGGAGUCUAACAUAUGUGCAAGUAAUUGGGUAUUUUUAAUAAAACCCAAAGGCAAAAUUAACUUAACUGUUUUAUGGGAUUAGUUUAUAUUUUAUUAUGAAAUAUUAAUUCAAUCCCGGGGCGUUCUAUAUAGUUAUGUAUAAUAAUAUUUAUAUUAUUUAUGCCUCUAACUAGAGCGUACCUUGAGCAUAUAUGCUGUGACCCGAAAGAUG
rnacentral:rRNA from 1 species